UUGGAGCCGGCGUCACAGUGGAGGGUGGACGGUGAGGGCCGUGCUGAGGCUGGGGCGGCUCGGGGAAGAAGCAGCGGCGGCGGGGACGAAUCCGCAGCGUCGAGGCCGAGCCCGCGCCGGCGGUGGCGGGGACAAAUCCGCGGCGGCGGGGCUGAGCCCGUGCCGGCGGCGGCGUCGAGAUCUGGUUCCCUCGGUCGCGCGAGAUCUGGCGGCGGCGCGAUGGGCAGGAGGCGGCGG
rnacentral:lncRNA from 1 species